rnacentral:rRNA from 1 species
UACGUAGGGUGCAAGCGUUGUCCGGAAUUAUUGGGCGUAAAGAGCUCGUAGGCGGUUUGUCGCGUCUGCUGUGAAAACGCGAGGCUCAACCUCGCGCCUGCAGUGGGUACGGGCAGACUAGAGUGCGGUAGGGGAGAUUGGAAUUCCUGGUGUAGCGGUGGAAUGCGCAGGAUAUCAGGAGGAACACCGGUGGCGAAGGCGGUUCUCUGGGCAUGUCCUGACGCUGGAGACGCGACGGCGUGGGGAGCAAACCGG